GGGUGAGUAAAAGGUAGGAAUCUACCCCUUGGACGGAGAUAGCUACUGGAAACGGUAGGUAAACUUCGAUAAGCCCGAGAGGGGAAAGUGGUGAGACAGCCGAGGGAUGAGCCUACUCUCCAUCAGGUAGUUGGUGAGAUAAAAGCUUACCAAGCCGAUGACGGAUAACCGGUGUGAGAGCAUGAACGGUCACAAGGGCACUGAGAGACGGGCCCUACUCCUACGGGAGGCAGCAGUGGGGAAUCUUGGACAAUGGGCGAAAGCCUGAUCCAGCGACGCCGCGUGGAGGAAGAAGUCCUUCGGGAUGUAAACUUCUGAACUAGCCGAAUAAAAGGCCUGUGGACACACAGGAGAAGAAAGUAGGCUAGGAAAAGUCCCGGCUAACUACGUGCCAGCAGCCGCGGUAAGACGUAGGGGGCAAGCGUUACCCGGAAUUACUGGGCGUAAAGGGGGCGUAGGCGGUAAAAGAAGUCAUCUGUGAAAACCUAUUGCUCAACGAUAGGCUAGCGGAUGAAACUGAAUUACUUGAGGGCACCAGAGGUAGACGGAAUUACCCGAGUAGGGGUGAAAUCCGCAGAUACGGGUAGGAACGCCGGUGGAGAAGUCGGUCUACUGGGGUGCACUAGACGCUGAGGCCCGAAAGCUAGGGGAGCAAACCGGAUUAGAUACCCGGGUAGUCCUAGCCGUAAACGAUGCUCACUAGGUGUAGGGAGUGAUAAACUCUCUGUGCUGAAGCGAACGCGCUAAGUGAGCCGCCUGGGGAGUACGUCCGCAAGGAUGAAACUCAAAGGAA
rnacentral:rRNA from 1 species